AUAAGCAGUUGUGCUUGAGCUCAGCUGACCCUAAGGAUCCCACUCUCUUACAGAACCCUGGCAGGUUCCAGCUUUAUUCCGAAUGGGAAGGAGGCAGGACAGUUUUCCUAGAUGCAGGGACCUGGGAGGAGGCACGUUAAAAGCAUGUAGUUUUGUCCACGAAGAUCACUGGUAAUGACCCAUAGGAAGAACCUGUACACGUUGAAGUAAUCACCUACCAGCUUCCCUCUGUCAACCUGAUGGGAAAAUUGAGUCCCAGAAAAAUCAAGAAGCCGUGGAGGAUCUAUUGCCUUCAGCUCUAUUAUGAAAUCAGGUGAAAUGAUGAAGAGAGCAUGAUUUGGGGACUGACUCUUAGUACUCCAACUUCAAAAUCUCUUCUUUUUGGCUUAUUUAAGACCACUCACUAAGCAACGCGCCUAUGCUGUCACAGAAUGAAUAAGUUGCGGCUGUGAUCUGCGUUCACAGAGCUCAAGGUGUAAGAGGGAAGACGAAUGCGCUUUCUUGCAUGGAUCUUAUUAGUCUCCUGUGCACCGAGUGCCUUUUACCUGGAAAGGAGCCUGGAACUGCAGGAUGAGUGGUCUCUCGAAUCCAGGCUCAUUUCUUCAGCUGACCGUUGUCAUCUUGUCUGGAGAACCACACUCAUCCUAAAUGGUCUCAUGGCUCCAAUCUUUCUUCUACAGGAGCCAGUCCGCCUUCCAUACCGCUAACAAAGCAAUGGAAAGAACAUCAGCUCCUGUCACCCUUCCCCUUCACUGAAAGCUUCUCAUUGGCUUUCUGCUG
ensembl:lncRNA